UUCCAGAGGGAUAGCUCAGUUGGUAGAGAAUCAGACUCUUAAUCUCAGGGGCAUGGGUUUGAGCUCCACGUCGGGCAAAA